rnacentral:rRNA from 1 species
GAUGAACGCUGGCGGCGUGCCUAAUACAUGCAAGUCGAACGCGCAGCGAAAGGUGCUUGCACCUUUCAAGCGAGUGGCGAACGGGUGAGUAACACGUGGAUAACCUGCCUCAAGGCUGGGGAUAACAUUUGGAAACAGAUGCUAAUACCGAAUAAAACUUAGUAUCGCAUGUUACAAAGUUAAAAGGCGCUACGGCGUCACCUAGAGAUGGAUCCGCGGUGCAUUAGUUAGUUGGUGGGGUAAAGGCUUACCAAGACGAUGAUGCAUAGCCGAGUUGAGAGACUGAUCGGCCACAUUGGGACUGAGACACGGCCCAAACUCCUACGGGAGGCUGCAGUAGGGAAUCUUCCACAACGGGCGCAAGCCUGAUGGAGCAACGCCGCGUGUGUGAUGAAGGCUUUCGGGUCGUAAAGCACUGUUGUAUGGGAAGAAAUGCUAAAAUAGGGAAUGAUUUUAGUUUGACGGUACCAUACCAGAAAGGGACGGCUAAAUACGUGCCAGCAGCCGCGGUAA